CUAGGUGGGAUUAGCUAGUUGGUGAGGUAAGGGCUCACCAAGGCGACGAUCCCUAGCUGGUCUGAGAGGAUGAUCAGCCACACUGGAACUGAGACACGGUCCAGACUCCUACGGGAGGCAGCAGUGGGGAAUAUUGCACAAUGGGCGCAAGCCUGAUGCAGCCAUGCCGCGUGUGUGAAGAAGGCCUUCGGGUUGUAAAGCACUUUCAGUCGUGAGGAAGGUAGUGUAGUUAAUAGCUGCAUUAUUUGACGUUAGCGACAGAAGAAGCACCGGCUAACUCCGUGCCAGCAGCCGCGGUAAUACGGAGGGUGCGAGCGUUAAUCGGAAUUACUGGGCGUAAAGCGCAUGCAGGUGGUUUGUUAAGUCAGAUGUGAAAGCCCGGGGCUCAACCUCGGAAUAGCAUUUGAAACUGGCAGACUAGAGUACUGUAGAGGGGGGUAGAAUUUCAGGUGUAGCGGUGAAAUGCGUAGAGAUCUGAAGGAAUACCGGUGGCGAAGGCGGCCCCCUGGACAGAUACUGACACUCAGAUGCGAAAGCGUGGGGAGCAAACAGGAUUAGAUACCCUGGUAGUCCACGCCGUAAACGAUGUCUACUUGGAGGUUGUGGCCUUGAGCCGUGGCUUUCGGAGCUAACGCGUUAAGUAGACCGCCUGGGGAGUACGGUCGCAAGAUUAAAACUCAAAUGAAUUGACGGGGGCCCGCACAAGCGGUGGAGCAUGUGGUUUAAUUCGAGGCAACGCGAAGAACCUUACCUACUCUUGACAUCCAGAGAACUUUCCAGAGAUGGAUUGGUGCUUCGGGAACUCUGAGACAGGUGCUGCAUGGC
rnacentral:rRNA from 1 species